GACGAACGCUGGCGGCGUGCUUAACACAUGCGAGUCGAACGGAAAGGCCCUGCUUUUGUGGGGUGCUCGAGUGGCGAACGGGUGAGUAACACGUGAGUAACCUGCCCUUGAUUUGGGGAUAACUUCAGGAAACUGGGGCUAAUACCGGAUAGGUGCUCCUGCUGCAUGGUGGGGGUUGGAAAGUUUCGGCGGUUGGGGAUGGACUCGCGGCUUAUCAGCUUGUUGGUGGGGUAGUGGCUUACCAAGGCUUUGACGGGUAGCCGGCCUGAGAGGGUGACCGGCCACAUUGGGACUGAGAUACGGCCCAGACUCCUACGGGAGGCAGCAGUGGGGAAUAUUGCACAAUGGGCGGAAGCCUGAUGCAGCAACGCCGCGUGCGGGAUGACGGCCUUCGGGUUGUAAACCGCUUUCGCCUGUGACGAAGCGUGAGUGACGGUAGUGGGUAAAGAAGCACCGGCUAACUACGUG
rnacentral:rRNA from 1 species